UACAGAGGUCUCAAGCGUUGUUCGGAUUCAUUGGGCGUAAAGGGUGCGUAGGCGGCGCGGUAAGUCGGGUGUGAAAUUUCGAGGCUUAACUUCGAAACUGCAUUCGAUACUGCCGUGCUAGAGGACUGGAGAGGAGACUGGAAUUUACGGUGUAGCGGUGAAAAUGCGUAGAUAUCGUAAGGAAGACCAGUGGCGAAGGCGGGUCUCUGGACAGUUCCUGACGCUGAGGCACGAAGGUCAGGGGGAGCAAAACGGG
rnacentral:rRNA from 1 species